rnacentral:rRNA from 1 species
AAAUUGAAGAGUUUGAUCAUGGCUCAGAUUGAACGCUGGCGGCAGGCCUAACACAUGCAAGUCGAACGGUAACAGGAAGCAGCUUGCUGCUUUGCUGACGAGUGGCGGACGGGUGAGUAAUGUCUGGGAAACUGCCCGAUGGAGGGGGAUAACGACUGGAAACGGUAGCUCAUACCGCAUAACGUCGCAAGACCAAAGAGGGGGACCUGAGGGCCUCGUGCCAUCGGAUGUGCUCAGAUGGGA